UACGUAGGGUGCGAGCGUUGCCCGGAUUUAUUGGGCGUAAAGGGCGCGUAGGCGGCUCGGCACGUCCGUUGUGAAAUCGCCCGGCUCAACUGGGCGGGGUCAGCGGAUACGGUCGAGCUUGAGCAAGCUAGGGGGUAAUGGAAUUCCCGGUGUAGUGGUGGAAUGCGUAGAUAUCGGGAGGAACACCAGUGGCGAAGGCGGUUACCUGGAGCUUUGCUGACGCUGAUGCGCGAAAGCGUGGGGAGCGAUCCGG
rnacentral:rRNA from 1 species